UACGAAGGGGGCUAGCGUUGUUCGGAAUCACUGGGCGUAAAGCGCACGUAGGCGGAUUUUUAAGUCAGGGGUGAAAUCCCGAGGCUCAACCUCGGAACUGCCUUUGAUACUGGGGAUCUGGAGUCCGGGAGAGGUGAGCGGAACUGCGAGUGUAGAGGUGAAAUUCGUAGAUACCCGGAGGAACACCAGUGGCGAAGGCGGCUUCCUGGUCUGCGACUGACGCUGAGGCGCGAAAGCUAGGGGAGCAAACGGG
rnacentral:rRNA from 1 species